GUGUCUAACCGUAAGGAGGACGCUUACCACGGUGUGGCCGAUGACUGGGGUGAAGUCGUAACAAGGUAGCCGUAGGGGAACCUGCGGCUGGAUCACCUCCUUAACGAAAGAUUGACGAUUGGUAAGAAUCCACAACAAGUUGUUCUUCAUUGAUGUAUCUGAGGGUCUGUAGCUCAGUUGGUUAGAGCACACGCUUGAUAAGCGUGGGGUCACAAGUUCAAGUCUUGUCAGACCCACCAAGUCUACUGAACACAGAAGAGCAGAUAUAUUAAGAUCUUAAGCUGGGGACUUAGCUUAGUUGGUAGAGCGCCUGCUUUGCACGCAGGAGGUCAACGGUUCGACUCCGUUAGUCUCCACCACUAAUAAAAGACUAAGUGAUUACAGAACUUAGUAAGCCGAUAGCUUAUUAAGUUCUGUGAUUUAUCACAGUUAACUACUCGCUGACGAGGCGGUAGUGAAUCAUUAACAGAAUAUAUUUGAGUUGAAAUAAUUGUUUAAACUCGUUUUAGUUGAUGUUAGCAAGCAAUUGUUAAUGUUGAAUGAAAUGAGCACUAGCGAUAAAACUGAAUCAAGCGUUUUGGUAUAUGAAUUAAAUUGAAGCUGUAUGGUGAUUAAGUUCACAGGCAACAAAUAGAAGUGGUUAAGUCCACAUUGUUGAUCCUCCUUGUAGGGAUUAGCGACUGUUUGGGGUUGUAUAGUCAAGUAAUUAAGUGCAUGUGGUGGAUGCCUUGGCAGUCAGAGGCGAUGAAAGACGUAAUAGCCUGCGAUAAGCUUCGGGGAGGCGGCAAAUAUCCUGUGAUCCGGAGAUUUCUA
rnacentral:rRNA from 1 species